CUGCAACUUUGUACCCUCUGACUGACCUCCUCCUACACCAUUCUAGUCUCUGCUUCUGAGUUCCAUCAUUUUGGAUUCCACAUAUAGGAGCUAUCCCACAUGUCACCUUCUACAUGAAGAGUUCCCUCCGUUAAAGUGAAAAGACAGCCUACACAAUAGGAAAAGACAUUUGCAAAUCAUAUAUCCAAUAAGUGAUGUGAAUUGGGUCAUUCUUGUCACACCCAACUAAAACAGAGUCAAGAAGCCAUUAGGAGAAGCACUCAGGGAAUGUAACAGCACUUUGAGAAUGUAAUUUUCUGCAAGCCUGGAUGCUGAAAUUGCCUGCUGUAACCUGAAACCAGUUUUAUCUCACGGCUGCUGAAACAACCUGCUGCAAUUCUAAGACUGGUUUUACUGCCAUAACUCACCAAUGAGAGCUUGCCACCUCCCGAAAAUUUGACUAAUGCCAAAGAACUUUCUGGAAAAACAAUACAUAACAUUUCUCUUUUUUAUAAACUCCCAGUCUUCUCUUCAUUCUUCGGAUAUACUGAAGACCAUCCUAUCUGUAUGUAUGUCCCUCAUUGCAAUUCUUGUAUCCCAAAUAAAAUGUUAAAUUCAGAAAGUCUUCUGUGUAUUUUUAUUUUGAUUUCAACAGGUGUAUGUAUCUAAAAUAUUUAAGGACUCCUGCAAAUCAAUAAUAAAAAGAAAAAUAACACGAUUUAAACAUGGGCAAAGAUUUGAUAGGUAUUUCCCCAAGGAAGAUAUACAAAUGGCUAAUGGGCAUAUGAAAAGACGCUCAACAUCAUUUGUUAUUAGGCAAAUCAAGUACACAUGACUUCACAUCAACUAGGGUGGCUAAAAUCAACAAUAGGGACAAUAACAAGUAUUAGAAAGGAUGUGAGUCAUUGGAACCCUCAAACAUAGCUGGUGGGAAUGUAAAAUAGGGCAGUCACUUCAGAAAACAAUUUUGCAGUUUCUCAUGGAGUUAAACAUAGAGUUGCCAUAUGACCCAACAAUUCUAAGUAUUACCCAAGAGACAUGAAAAUAUAUGUCCAUAUCAACCUGCACAUGAAUGUGUAUAGCAGCAUUAUUUAGAAUAGCCAAAAAAGUAGAAAUGUCCAUCAAAUGAUGAAUGGAUAAACAAAUGUGGUAUAUUCAUAUAAUGGAGUAUUAUUCAGCUAUACAAAGGAACCAAGUACUGAUACUGGCAACAACAUGGGUGAACAUUAAAAACAUUAUGCUAAGUAAAGAAAAGCCAGAAACAAACACAUUUUGUGAUUCAAUUUUUAUGAAAUGUCCAGAAUAGGCAAAUCUAUAGAGACAGAAAGUAGAUUCGAGACAAAAAGUAGAAAUCUAAAGAGACAAGAAGUAGAGACUGAAAGUAGGUUGCCAGAAACCUGGGAAGAGGGAAAAGGAGAUGACUGCUAAUGGGAACAGAGUUUCUUUUCAGGAUUGUGAUAAUGUUCCAGUAUCAGAUAGUGGUGAUGGUUGCACAAUUUUGUGAAUAUAUUGAAAACCCUGAGCUGUAAACUUUAAACUAAAAAAUAUAUAUUUAAAAAUUUGUGGCUGGGUGUAAUGGCUCAUGCCUAUAAUCCCAGAACUUUGCAUGGCUAAGGCGAGAAGAUCACAUAAGCCCAGGAGUUCAAGGCCAGCCUGAGCAACAAAGCAAGACCCCGUCUCUACAAAAAAUUUAAAAAUUAGCUGCGCAUGGUGGCAUGCACCUAUAGUCCCAGUUACUCAGUAGGAUUGCCACUUGAACCCAGGAAUUCUAGGCUGUGUGAGCUAUGAUUGUACCACUGCCCCCUAGUCUGGGCAACAGAGCAAGACCCUGUCUCUAAAGAAAAAAAAAAUUGCUAUCUCACUAAUUAGAGACAUUCAAUCUAAGAUGGGUGUGAGAUGAGGGAUUGAAAGAGAAAAAUAAUCGGAUAGAUAUGGUACCAUGUCAUCUGCAGCAAAAGGAAAAGGAUAUCUUCCCAGUUGCCUUUCCCUUCCUUCUCAAACCCUGUUCUUUCUCAGGCUGCAGUGGGAAAUGGAAAGCAGUAUAUGAGGGGCAAGUGUGAUCAAGUAUACAGCAAACUGCAUCUAAUAACAGUAUAUUACACCUAGAUCUGUCACUCCCAGGCUGCUCAUGACAGUUAUAGAAAGCAAGAGGAAAGGGAAGAGGGGAGGUAUUUGCUACCUGGUAUUAAUAAAUAUCUAAGGCUCAUACAACACGUCGUCCCAUAGACGGCAUUUCAUCCCAGUUUACCCAAAUAAAACUUUGCCAGAAGUCAGACAAAACCACUCCAUGUGCUCUUGCUCUCAUGACCCCUACAGCGGGAUGCCUUGAACUAGACUUCAGCAUACGCUCUUUUUGUUUUUGGAGAUGGAGUCUCUCUCUGUCGCCCAGGCUGAAGUGCAGUAGCACGAUCUUGGCUCACUGCAACCUCUGCCUGCUGGGUUCAAGUGAUUCUCCUGCCUCAGCCUCCUGAAUCACUGGGAUUACAGGGGCCCACCACCAUGCCCAGUUAAUUUUUUGUAUUUUUUAGUAGAGACGGGUUUUUGCCAUGUUGGCCAGGCUGAUCUUGAACUCCUGACCUCAGGUGAUCCACCUGCCUUGGCCUCCCAAAGUGCCGGGAUUACAGGCUUGAGCAACAGCACCCAGCCAGCAUACGCUCUUGAGCUCUAUGUUUUGAGGUUACAAGAGACCCUCUCUCUCUCCUGUCAGCUAUUAAGGCCUGAUUGACAUUAUUCCAGAGAGCAACUAGUUCUAGGAUGCUUUUCUUCGUAUCUAAUAGACCUACGGGUCUUAUAGGGAAAAAAUGGAGAACAGGGAACAGCAGGCAGCUGACUGUGCUGAAUGUAGAGCUGGAACCACAACCAGUAGUUACCAGUGUCUCACCCUCCUGCAGGAAGGAUGCCUGAACCUGACCCACCACCUGCAUAGUCUCUAUAGCCACUCCUACCAUCUGACCUGUAGACUGGAAAUGGUUCCAGCCCACAUGCUUUUGUCACAGAUGCUGCCAUAUAUGGACAUGCUGAGCUCUUUCCAUUUAGGUAGCAAAAAAUGCUGAUCUUAAUUUUUAUUGAUCUAGGACAAGGAAAGUAAUUUCCAUCUUAUAUUUCACAGCUUGGAAACUUUACCAGACAGCCUGGUCUUUGAGACAAGCAGUCUUGACUCUGCUUCCCUUGGGCAACUUACAUUAUUAACCUCUUUGAACCUCAGAUAUCCCCUCUGUAAAAUGAUAAUAUCUAAUUCAAAAAGUUGUUGUUUGGAUUAAAUGAAGACAACUACUGUAGAGUACCUAACGCAUGUUCUAGCUCAUCAUCUACUUAGAAUGAGUGUCGCCAUUAUUAUUGAU
rnacentral:lncRNA from 10 species